GAUGAACGCUGGCGGCGUGCUUAACACAUGCAAGUCGAACGGAAAGGCUCCUGCUUGCAGGGGUACUCGAGUGGCUAACGCGUGAGUAACACGUGGGUGAUCUGCCCUGCACUUCGGGAUAAUCCUGUGAAACUGGGUCUAAUACCGGAUAGGACGGUGUAUUUGAUGCCAGUGUGGAAAGUUUUUCGUUGUGGGAUUAGCUCGCGUCCUAUCAGCUUGUUGGUGGGGUAAUGGCAUACCAAGGCGGCGACGGGUAGCCGGCCUGAGAGGGUGGACGGCCACAUUGGGACUGAGAUACGGCCCAGACUACUACGGGAGGCAGCAGUGGAGAAUAUUGCACAAUGGGCGCAAGCCUGAUGCAGCGAAGCCGCGUGGGGGAUGACGGCCUUCGGGUUGUAAACUCCUUUCGCUAGGGACGAAGCGAAAGUGACGGUACCUGGAGAAGAAGCACCGGCUAACUACGUG
rnacentral:rRNA from 1 species